UGCAAAUUAAAUAACCGUUU
rnacentral:snRNA from 1 species